rnacentral:rRNA from 1 species
UACGUAGGGUGCAAGCGUUGUCCGGAAUUAUUGGGCGUAAAGAGCUCGUAGGCGGUCUGUCACGUCGGCUGUGAAAUCCCGAGGCUCAACCUCGGGUCUGCAGUCGAUACGGGCAAACUAGAGUAUUGCAGGGGAGACUGGAAUUCCUGGUGUAGCGGUGAAAUGCGCAGAUAUCAGGAGGAACACCGAUGGCGAAGGCAGUGGGCUGGGCCGGCACUGACGCUGAGGAGCGAAAGCGUGGGGAGCGAACAGG